GUAGGGAAUAUUGGGCAAUGGGCGAAAGCCUGACCCAGCAACACCGCGUGAAUGAUGAAGGUCUUCGGAUUGUAAAGUUCUGUGAUGGGGGACGAAGAAAGUGACGGUACCCCAAGAGCAAGCCACGGCUAACUACGUGCCAGCAGCCGCGGUAAUACGUAGGUGGCAAGCGUUGUCCGGAAUGACUGGGCGUAAAGGGUACGUAGGUGGCUAUUCAAGUUAGUGGUGAAAUUCCGGGGCUUAACUCCGGCGCUACCACUAAGACUGUUUAGCUUGAGUGCAGGAGGGGUAAGUGGAAUUCCUAGUGUAGCGGUGGAAUGCGUAGAUAUUAGGAAGAACACCGGUGGCGAAGGCGACUUACUGGACUGUAACUGACACUGAAGUACGAAAGCGUGGGGAGCAAACAGGAUUAGAAACCCUAGUAGUCC
rnacentral:rRNA from 1 species